AGUGAACGCUGGCGGUAGGCCUAACACAUGCAAGUCGAACGGCAGCACAGGAGAGCUUGCUCUCUGGGUGGCGAGUGGCGGACGGGUGAGGAAUACAUCGGAAUCUACUCUGUCGUGGGGGAUAACGUAGGGAAACUUACGCUAAUACCGCAUACGACCUACGGGUGAAAGCAGGGGACCUUCGGGCCUUGCGCGAUUGAAUGAGCCGAUGUCGGAUUAGCUAGUUGGCGGGGAAAAGGCCCACCAAGGCGACGAUCCGUAGCUGGUCUGAGAGGAUGAUCAGCCACACUGGAACUGAGACACGGUCCAGACUCCUACGGGAGGCAGCAGUGGGGAAUAUUGGACAAUGGGCGCAAGCCUGAUCCAGCCAUACCGCGUGGGUGAAGAAGGCCUUCGGGUUGUAAAGCCCUUUUGUUGGGAAAGAAAUCCAGCUGGCUAAUACCCGGUUGGGAUGUCGGUACCCAAAGAAUAAGCACCGGCUAACUUCGUGCCAGCCGCCGCGGUAA
rnacentral:rRNA from 1 species